rnacentral:rRNA from 1 species
AUUGAACGCUGGCGGCAUGCCUAACACAUGCAAGUCGAGCGAGCGGCGGACGGGUGAGUAAUGUCUGGGAAACUGCCUGAUGGAGGGGGAUAACUAAUGGAAACGGUAGCUAAUACCGCAUACCAUCAGAUGUGCCCAGGUGGGAUUGGCUGGUAGGUGGGGUAACGGGCCACCUGGGCGACGAUCCCUAGCUGGUCUGAGAGGAUGACCGGCCACAUGGGAACGGGAACACGGACCAGACUCCUACGGUAGGCACCAGUGGGGAAUAUUGCGCAAUGGGCGCAAGCCUGAUGCAGCCAUGCCGCGUGUGUGAAGAAGGCCUUCGGGUUGUAAAGCACUUUCAGCGGUUAGGCGUUACCCGCAGAAGAAGCACCGGCUAACUCCGUGCCAGCAGCCGCGGUAAUUC